rnacentral:snoRNA from 1 species
UGGGCCUGCUGAGUCAAUUCCAGUUUGAUGGAGCUGUUGGUUUCAAACAGGAGCCAAAAGAAAUGUCUUCCUAUGGUCUGUUCCCCAUUUCAGAACUUUGGAAAUGUUAUGGUCAAUUCAUUAGAAAGAAACAUUG